AUGAAGGGCGUAUGGUGGAUGCCUUGACUCAAGUGAGCGAUGAAGGACGUAGCGAUCUGCGAUAAGCCUCGGGGAGCUGAUGAGCAAGCUUUGAUCCGGGGAUUUCCGAAUGCGGCAACGCAUCUCGAUUCAUAUCGGGAUAUUACUGUCUGAAUUCAUAGGACAGUGAAGCGUACCCAGGGAACUGAAACAUCUUAGUACCUGGAGGAAAAUAAAUCCAAAAGAUUCCGUCAGUAGUGGCGAGCGAAAGCGGAGAAGCCUAAACCGAUUGUUUUGUUAGCUGAACAAUUCUGGAAAGUGAGACCAAAGAGGGUAAUAGUCCCGUAAGCGAAAACGAAACAACUUUAUUGUUAUUAUUCUCAAGUAAGGCGGGACCGGAGAAAUCCCGUCUGAAGCCGGGGCCACUAUAGCUCCAAGGCUAAAUAUCACUUGAGAUCGAUAGCGAACUAGUACCGUGAGGGAAAGGUGAAAAGAACCCCGAUGAGGGGAGUGAAAUAGAACUGAAACCAUAUGCUUACGUAGAGUUGGAGCCCCGACGCAAGUCGGGGUGACAGCGUGCUUUUUGCAGAACGAGCCAACGAGUUAAUUUUAUGCGGCAAGUUUAACCCAGCAUUGAAUUUAUAAAGUAAUGGGGAAAACGUAGUGAAAGCGAGGCUUAAUCGCCGAAAAUAAGUCGCAUGGAUUAGACCCGAAGCCGGGCGAGCUACAUAUGAGCAGGGUGAACGCAGAGUAACAUCUGCGGGAGGCCCGAACCCACGCGCCGUACAACACGCGGGGAUGACUUGUGUGUAGAGGAGAAAUUCCAAUCGAGCUCGGCCAUAGCUGGUUCUUCCCGAAAUAGCUUGAGGGCUAGCGUCGGAUAAAUGAUCACAGGAGGUAGAGCUACUGAAUGAGGGAUCGUGGAGCAAUCCUAGGUCUCUCAACCAAACUCCGAAUGCCUGAUGAUUUUAUCCCGACAGUCAGAACGUGGGGGCUAAGCUUCACGUUCGAGAGGGAAACAGCCCAGAUCGCAGUCUAAGGUCCCUAAAUCUAUGUUAAGUGGUAAAGGAAGUGAAGUCUCCGAGACACCUAGGAGGUUGGCUCAGAAGCAGCCAUCCUUUAAAGAGUGCGUAACAGCUCACUAGUCUAGAGAUUUCGCGCCGAAAAUUCAACGGGGCUCAAACAUAGUACCGAAGACGCGGACUCCAGCGCUUGCGCUGGUUUGGUAGGGAAGUGUCCUCAUCUGCUGCGAAGCGGAAGGCGUGAGCCACCGUGGAGCGUUGAGGAGUAAGAAUGUUGGCAUGAGUAACCGCAAUGUGAGUGAGAACCUCACACGCCGAAAGUCCAAGGUUUCCUGGGCAAUGUCGAUCAACCCAGGGUUAGGCGGUCCUAAGGCGAGGCCGAAAGGCGUAGUCGAUGGACAGCCGGUUAAUAUUCCGGCCCCGCAAUAUUAUUCGAUGGAGUGACGUACUCUAGUAGUCUCUGCCCCUUAUUGGAUUGGGGUAGGCGCAUUGAGGACGUUCGCGAGGAAAAUCCCGCGAGCACAAAUCCAAGAUGCGACUGGAAGUCCGAUUUAUCGGGCGAACGGAGAUGAGCAGGGUACCAGGAAAAACUUCUAAGGUUAAUAAUAUUGCGUCCGUACUUAAAACCGACACAGGUGGACAGGGCGAGUAGCCCAAGGCGAACGGGAGAACCCUCGUUAAGGAACUCGGCAAAACAACUAGACGUAACUUCGGGAGAUGUCUUCCCCGACGCAAGUCGGGGUGCAAUUAAAGAUUCCAAGCGACUGUUUAUCAAAAACACAGGUCUCCGCAAACCCGCAAGGGGAAGUAUGGGGGCUGACGCCUGACCAGUGCUGGAACGUUAACGGGAGCGGUGCAAGCCAAUCCCCGAAGCGCCAGUGAACGUCAGCGAUAACUAUAAUCGUUCUAAGGUUGAGGAGUUCUGACCCGCAUUAAAGGCGUAACGACUCGGAAACUGUCUCAACGAGGGACCCGGUGAAAUCGCAAUGGCAGUGAAGAUGCUGCCGACCUACGGCAAGACGAAAAGACCCCGUGGAGCUUUACUACAACUUGGUAUUGGGUUGUGAUUUUAGCUGCCUAGCAUAGGUGGGAGGCUUUGAAGCCUCGACUUCGGUCGAGGUGGAGCCGCCAGUGUAAUACCACCCUGCUGAAGUCGCAAUUCUAACCCUGGUCUGUUAGUUCCAGACCGGGGACAGUGCCUGGUGGGUAGUUUGACUGGGGCGGUCGCCUCCCAAAAGGUAACGGAGGCGUUUACAAAGGUUGGCUAGCUCCGGAUGGAAAUCGGAGCGAUAGCGCAAACGCAAAAGCCAGCUUUACUGGAAGACCCAUAAGUCGACCAGUCACGAAAGUGGAAGUUAGUGAACCGACCAUCGCUUGUAGGAGCGUGGAAGAUCAUCAGAUAAAAGUUACCCCGGGGAUAACAGGCUUAUUCCUCCCAAGAGUUCACAUCGACGGAGGAGUUUGGCACCUCGAUGUCGGCUCAUCGCAUCCUGGGGCUGGAGAAGGUCCCAAGGGUUUGGCUGUUCGCCAAUUAAAGCGGUACGCGAGCUGGGUUCAACCGAGAGGACCGGAAAGAACGAACCUCUGGUGUACCAGUUGAUCCUGCCAAGGGCAAUGCUGGGUAGCUAUGUUCGGAAGGGAUAACCGCUGAAAGCAUAUAAGCGGGAAGCCCACUUCAAGAUUAGGCAACUCUAGUGCUUGCACUAGAUGGCUUCCUGGGAGAUGACCAGGUUGAUAGGCUUCAGGUGUAAGUGCGGCAACGCAUUGAGCCGAGAAGUACUAAUAAGCCGA
rnacentral:rRNA from 1 species